rnacentral:rRNA from 1 species
GACGAACGCUGGCGGCGUGCUUAACACAUGCAAGUCAGGGGGCGGGGUAACCCGUCACCGGCGAACGGGUGCGGAACACGUGAGCGACCUGCCCUGGUGUGGGGGAUAGCCGGCCCAACGGCCGGGUAAUACCGCAUACGGCGCCCGCUUGGAAGCGGGAGGCGAAACUCGCAAGAGGCGCUAGGAGGGGCCCGCGGCCUAUCAGCUAGUUGGUGCGGUAGCGGCGCACCAAGGCGAUGACGGGUAGCUGGUCUGAGAGGAUGGCCAGCCACAUUGGGACUGAGCGACGGCCCAGACUCCGACGGGGGGCAGAAGUGGGGACUAUUGGGCAAUGGGCGAAAGCCUGACGCAGCGAGGCCGCGUGGAGGAUGAGGCCUUUCGGGGUGUAAACUCCUGUGGGCCGGGAAGAAUGCCCCGCCGCGGCGGGGUUGACGGUACCGGGUGAGGAAGCACCGGCUAACUCUGUG